rnacentral:rRNA from 1 species
GACGUAGGGCGCGAGCGUUGUCCGGAUUUAUUGGGCGUAAAGAGCUCGUAGGCGGCUCGUUGCGUCGGCUGUGAAAACCCGCCAGCUCAACUGUGGGCGUUGCAGCUUGAUACGGGGCGGGCGUGGGGAUUCGGGAUUAGGGGAGGACUGGAAUCCUGGAUUGUAGCGGUGGAAAUGACGCAGAUAUCAGGAGGAACACCCGGUGGCGAAGGCGGGUCUCUGGGCCGAUAUCGACGCUGGAGGAGCGAAAGCGUGGGGAGCGAACAGG